AACAGCUCAAAUUUGAAAUCUGGCCUCUUUGGGGUCCGAGUUGUAAUUUGUAGAGGGUGUUUCGGGCGCGAUGCCGGUCUAAGUUCCUUGGAACAGGACGUCGCAGAGGGUGAGAAUCCCGUACGCGACCGGCGAUCAAGCCUGUGUGAAGCCCCUUCGACGAGUCGAGUUGUUUGGGAAUGCAGCUCAAAAUGGGUGGUAAAUUUCAUCUAAAGCUAAAUAUUGGCCAGAGACCGAUAGCGGACAAGUAGAGUGAUCGAAAGAUGAAAAGCACUUUGGAAAGAGAGUCAAACAGCACGUGAAAUUGUUGAAAGGGAAGCGCUUGCAAUCAGACCGGUCCGGAGGCGAUCAGCCGCUGCUCGUUCAGCGGUGCACUCGCCUGCGAUCCGGCCAGCAUCGGUUUGGGUGGCGGGAUAAAAGUCCCGGGAAUGUAGCUUCUCUCGGGGAGUCUUAUAGCCCGGGUCGCAAUGCCGCCCGCCUGGACCGAGGACCGCGCUUCGGCUAGGAUGCUGGCGUAAUGGUUGCAAGCG
rnacentral:rRNA from 1 species